rnacentral:rRNA from 1 species
GUAAACCAUAGCGAGCAAAUCGUGUCGGCGUCGCAAGGCGCCUUCGCGGUUAAUAGGGAUAACCUAGGUAAUUCUGAGGCUAAUACAAGAACGUACAACCCGUCCGACCCGCAAGGGAAGGGCGGGGAAUGUGUGACCAGGCACGCAAAUUCGAAACUGGGAGUGGCCACACGUUCAGACCGCCAUACCAAACGGUCGUUCGCUUCGAAAGUCCUCGUGACGAGUAGCGGUGGACUUCUGGGCGGCUCUCGCUGUGUGCUUCUGACCUAUCAACUAGAUGGCAGCGUAACGGACAUGCUAUGGU